UGGAGGGGCUGAGAGCUGAGGGGAAGAGUGACAUAAAGAAGAGAGAAGUUCAUUAUCCAGCUGAAAAGGAAACCAAUGGCUUUCACAGUCUCCAUGGGAACCGGCCUUUCUUUUGCUGUCAAACCUAUGAUAAGAAACCCUCUCCUUUCUUCCGUUCCAAGGCAGCCCUUUUCAAACCGGGAAGCUCCAGGUCAGUUUCCCUUUCCAAGUUUUACGGCCUGCCAUGUUGUCUAUUCUGCUCAGCUAUUUAAAAAAUGUUGAAUAUCAACAAUGGCUUUCACUGGUGUAUUGUCAACUUUUGUAUGAAGCAAUCUUGGCUGAAUGAGAUGGGUCCCAGAGCAGGGAGGGCUUGGCUGCGGCAUGCACCGCAACACCACUGGCGCCUGCCUGGCUCUCUCUCUCUCUCUCUCUCUCUCUCUGCUGCAGGCAGGAUCAGGGAGGCAGGAGCAGCCGUCCCUCUAGUCCCUGUCUCAGCCCAGCCGUUGGGGUCUGCAUGGGGCUGGGAAAGCCACCCCCUCGUCAGUCCACUCCGCGAACCCAUCCUCAUCCUCCCCCUGCCUCUGGCCCUGUCGUCUGGGAGCCCCCGAAGGUGUGACACCUCACACAGGGAUCGGAGAGCAGGAGCCCCGGGGGUCAGUCAGAGCUGGGUAGCCAUGCCAACCCCAUUGGAGAUGUAUGUUUGAAGAUAAUCAUAGGAAAUCCUCCACCUAACCCAGAGAAACCCUCUCCAGGUCAGCAGCAACCCUGGAGUACCCUACUACCUGACAGGUGGAUCUGUCAGCACCCUAUACACUGUGCUGUGCUCUGGGUCUUCCCUCCCUCCCAGUCCUGAUCCUCAGGUGUCUGGCUGACUGGGUCUCUGGGUCUUCCCUCCCUCCCAGUCCUGAUCCUCAGGUGUCUGGCUGACUGGGUCUCUGGGUCAUCCCUCCCUCCCAGUCCUGAUCCUCAGGUGUCUGGCUAACUGGGUCUCCAGACAAAGGGUGUCCCCCACCAUCCAUUCACAAGCCACAGGUCGGGGCCUGAAAGAUGUGCCAGACCUGCCAAACAUUGGCCUCCACCUCGCCCUGCAGACAUGGCUAAACUCAAAACACACAGAUCAUACACACACACACACACACACACACACGCGCACCUUUCAACAAACAUACCGUAGUUGAUCGUA